UACGUAGGGUGCGAGCGUUGUCCGGAAUUAUUGGGCGUAAAGGGCUCGUAGGCGGUUUGUCGCGUCGGGAGUGAAAAUCCAGGGCUUAACUCUGGACUGGCUUUCGAUACGGGCAGACUAGAGGUAUGCAGGGGAGAACGGAAUUCCUGGUGUAGCGGUGAAAUGCGCAGAUAUCAGGAGGAACACCGGUGGCGAAGGCGGGUCUCUGGGCCGUUACUGACGCUGAGGAGCGAAAGCGUGGGGAGCGAACAGG
rnacentral:rRNA from 1 species